GCCAGGCAUGGUGAUGCAUGCCUGUAAUCCCAGCUACUUGGGAGGCUGAGGCAGGAGAAUUGCUUGAACCCAGGAGGUGGAGGUUGUGGCGAGCUGAGAUUGUGCCACUGCACUCCAGCCUGGGCAACAGAGUGAGACUCUGUCUCAA
rnacentral:SRP_RNA from 2 species